UUUUAAUAGUAAUAGUGAACAUACACUAUAUAUACUAAUAAAAUUAAGUUUUUCAUACCUGAAAUAUCUAUGAGAAGAGUAUGGAGUUAGUCUUAAACUUGGAUCUCAAAGUGUGAUGCCUCUAAUUCUUCAGAACUUCCUCCCUUUGCUGCAACACCUUUAGGUUGAUCUGUUUUCUUCAGAACAUGCCCCCCAAUAUUUUAAAUUAAUGUAUCACCAGGACAUUCUUAUGUUCUCUUAUUGUCAGAGCAGACAUUAAUCCUUCCUGAAAGUCUGACCAUUGCAGAGCUCCCAGUCUUGUCAACUUUAUCUUUUAUCAUCCAAGUAUCCAUAGCAGCAGAUUAUUGUAUAGUAUUUAUUUUUGUCCUUUGGAUUUUUCCAAAGAUAAAUUUCAGUAUCUAUUUAAAUUAAUGAGGGGUGACCGCUACCUUUUGCUGGUUUCUGUUGCUAAUGAGGGCAAGGCAUGGGCCUUUGCUAAAUUCCCACAUCAGCCUGGUUGGCCAGGUGUAUUUUUGGUAUAAGUUUCAAGCCAUAUGACAGUCUUGUAGAUAGUGCUAUUUGUCACAUGAGUACUGGACAAGAAAGUGCAGUGAUAAGAUCAAUACAAAUUUAUUCCUCUAGCAAAACACAACAAUUCAAGGCAUAUGCAUUAUUAAUGCUGCAUCAGAAGUAUUAUGCUCAUAUUCAAAGACUAGCAUAUAAUUAUAAAGGACAGAAAUGUAAAGAACACGAAACAGCCUGAUGAUGGAAUUGGUUCAUGUUUAUUAUUAGAAAUCCUAUUUGAAAUCCAGAGAAGAACUACUGAGUGGAUAAAAACAUGUCAGACAGUAGGUGACAAAGAAUAUGAGAAAAUUACAACAUUUUCCCCCACUAAAAUUAACAAUGUUUUGCACCCUACUUGACUGACUGAGUAAUCUGGCUCUGCAAGGAUGAGGAUUCAGGGAGAUAUUCUUUCUGCUACUGUUUCCAUCUGUGAUGCAAUUAGUCCGGAAUUUGCAUGCUCUACUGGUCAGUAUGACUCUAGCAAUGCUCAGCAGAACAGAGGCACACAUUCUCUCCUUCCACAAAUAUCCACUGAACAUGAAGUCAGACCUCUUCUGGUACUAGAGGAACAUUUGCAGGCUGUCGUGCAAAUCUGCAUUUGA
rnacentral:lncRNA from 1 species